rnacentral:tRNA from 1 species
GUUUUUAGUAUAAUGAGUAUACCUGAUUGCAGAUCUGGAGGAUAUAAAGCCUUACG